rnacentral:rRNA from 1 species
AGUGAACGCUGGCGGUAGGCCUAACACAUGCAAGUCGAACGGCAGCACAGUAAGAGCUUGCUCUUACGGGUGGCGAGUGGCGGACGGGUGAGGAAUACAUCGGAAUCUACUUUUUCGUGGGGGAUAACGUAGGGAAACUUACGCUAAUACCGCAUACGACCUACGGGUGAAAGCAGGGGAUCUUCGGACCUUGCGCGAUUGAAUGAGCCGAUGUCGGAUUAGCUAGUUGGCGGGGUAAAGGCCCACCAAGGCGACGAUCCGUAGCUGGUCUGAGAGGAUGAUCAGCCACACUGGAACUGAGACACGGUCCAGAAUCCUAAGGGAGGCAGCAGUGGGGAAUAUUGGACAAUGGGCGCAAGCCUGAUCCAGCCAUACCGCGUGGGUGAAGAAGGCCUUCGGGUUGUAAAGCCCUUUUGUUGGGAAAGAAAAGCAGCAGGUUAAUACCCCGCUGUUCUGACGGUACCCAAAGAAUAAGCACCGGCUAACUUCGUG